rnacentral:rRNA from 1 species
AUUGAACGCUGGCGGCAGGCUUAACACAUGCAAGUCGAGCGGAGUUGUGGUGCUUGCACCAUAACUUAGCGGCGGACGGGUGAGUAAUGCUUAGGAAUCUGCCUAUUAGUGGGGGGACAACAUCUCGAAAGGGAUGCUAAUACCGCAUACGCCCUACGGGGGAAAGCAGGGGAUCUUUCGGACCUUGCGCUAAUAGAUGAGCCUAAAGUCGGAUUAGCUAGUUGGUGGGGUAAAGGCCUACCAAGGCGACGAUACUGUAGCGGGUCUGAGAGGAUGAUCCGCCACACUGGGACUGAGACACGGCCCAGACUCCUACGGGAGGCAGCAGUGGGAAUAUUAGGACAAUGGGGGAACCCUGAUCCAGCCAUGCCGCGUGUGUGAAGAAGGCCUC